CUUUGGGGGCAUAGCUGCCUUCCUAUUGUCAAGGAUUUUGAGCAGAUCAGAUUUGAGGACCUUUUUUCAAUAGGUCUAUAUUUUUCUUACAACCACUCUCCAUUUUAAACACAUCAUGAGUAGACUUUUGGAGUCUGAUCUAUCGAGCUGGGUGUGUUUGGAAAGCUACAGAGCAGUGGCCAUAGAAAGACUGUGUGAGACAGAGUCCUAGCCUAUCUGUCUGGCCAGUUGAACCUCAUGUGUUUGCUGCUUUCAUUUUCUCUUGGCUGAGGAAAUGAUGGUUUGGUUUUGCAAAGGAAGGCUGGGGACUUCUGCCAGCUUGCUAACGGCCUUGCCCCAUUCAGAUGCAUCGAACUCACAGAACAUCGCUCCCCAGCUGCCGGCCCGCAGUUCUGAGAGUGCCUGAAUAGAAAACCACUCAUUUCCCUUCGCAAUAGAGGCGCCCAAAGCAGAUAUGUCAAUAUAUUCCAAUUUAGCCGAGGGAAGCCAGAACAUGGAUGUUGUUGCCAAGGAAACCACCUCCUUCCUCCUGUGUGCCGUGCAUACGUGUAUCACUUCAUCUCUCUGCUCUCCAAGCUGGAAUCCAGAUCUGACAUGGAUCUCCUGCCCCAGUUCUGAAGUCUACCUGGUGCCCCAGCCGAACCUGCCCUGGCUCCUGGGUGGGGUAUGGACAUCUGUGGUAUCCCUCCCUAACACCCCACCAAGCUGGGCUGCAAGACAGAUUAUGGUGGCCCCAUGACUUCCUUCCUUGGUAAGCCACAGGCCUUCCUUGUUAACUGCUUUGCUGUUGGUCAUUGCAGAGAAAUAGGGGACAAUAAAAACAACCUGAUAUGUAGCAAAGGCUCUAGGACUGUGUCAUCUGCUGAAGCACCAGUCCCUGCGCUGCCUUUCCUGAGUGGCAUCUGUGAUGGCAAACAAAAGGCUCCUUGGGCUUCACAUUCUGCUUUCUUUCUAAAUGGUGCUUACCACCCACUACCUCCCAGCCUUCUUCUGACCAGCUCCCUCUUCUGAUAGGCUUAUUUCCAUGAAGUUCUUCAGAGUUAGAAGCAUGAACUUUAGAACCAGGUGACCCAGGUUGGAAUCCAUCUCUGCCACUUACUAGCCAUAUGACCUUGGGUAUGUUACUUAACAUUUCUGUGCCUCAGUUUCUUUUUCUAUAAAAUGGGCAUAAUAAUAUCUAUCUAGCACAGUUA